rnacentral:lncRNA from 1 species
GGGCAUAUGGAGUGACCUUCCGCACACUUAACAUGCCAUUUGUCAUGUGGGGAAUGUUCCCGCAUGUGCAGGUCGACUUCCAUAUGUGUGGGAAUAAUUGCACACAUGCCAAAUAGGUUACGUGUGUUGUACGUAUCUUCCAUUGUUCCUCGUGCCUUGGACCUUUUUUUGGGCCUCACCAAUGAUCUUGUUACUUACCCAUUCCUGCACUAACAGGUUGAAAACAUCUUGAAAUUUUCAUGCCCGGCUUCGUGUGAUUGGUCCCAUGGGUAAUUGUACUUGUUUUUCCAUUGGUCUUAGUUUGUCAUAAGAACCUUCAAUUUCCUUUGGAUAAGUUAGAGUGUCUAUUACUUUUAUUAG